GCCUCAUGGUGCAGUGGGUCUGUGUAUCUGGUUGUUAACCAGAAGGCUUGGGUUUCGAGCCACCCAGGGACAGCU